UCAUAAUUUGAAAUCUUCCUUAGGUUAGGAUAGCAAUCUUCUCUUCUUCUUCUCAAAUCAGGCCUCCCAUGACCCUUCUUCCUUUCACCCGUCUUGGAAUAAAGAUGAUUCUCCCUGUCCCUGGGAGUUCGUCAAAUGCAACCCCAUCAAUGGAGUUUCCGAGCUUUCCCUCGAUGGGUUGGGGCUAGCAGAGAGAACCGGAAGAGGGUCUGAGAAAUUGCAGCAUCUCAAGAGGAUGCAGGAGGAACAAAGCGAUAAAAGAGAGUGAACGUGCUGCUGGAAACAAUAUUUUUGAUGGCAAAGUUGGGAUAUUAUGCCUACUCAAAUAACACACUUAAGAAAGGUAGCUUGCUCCUAAGAAGAUAAUGCACUAGUAAGGAAUCGGCUGCUCAACGUGUUAAAAGAAGUUGGAUGAACAGAGCUUGGACACUGUUAUUGUCUCUAUUCUUUUGUAGAUUUUAGUAAUGUGUUUCCGUUUCUUAAAACUUAUGUACAUCUAAUUGAAUACACUGUAAAUACAUUAUAAUAUCUCUUGAGUUAGAUUAUAUUAAAGAAAAUAUUGUUGA